rnacentral:misc_RNA from 1 species
AACGCACAUUGCGCCCGCUAGUAUUCUGGCGGGCAUGCCUGUUCGAGCGUCAUUUCAACCAUCAAGCCCUAGGCUUGUGUUGGGGCCCUGCGGCCGCCCGCAGCCCCCUAAAAACAGUGGCGGGCUCGCUAUAUACCGAGUGCAGUAGUUUACUCUUCGCUCAGGACAUGUAGUGGGUUCUUGCCGUAAAACCCCCCAUUUUUUAAGGUUGACCUCGGAUCAGGUAGGAAUACCCGCUGAACUUAA